rnacentral:rRNA from 1 species
CACGUAGGGUGCGAGCGUUGUCCGGAAUUAUUGGGCGUAAAGAGCUCGUAGGCGGUGUGUCGCGUCGGCCGUGAAAACCUGUGGCUUAACUAUGGGCUUGCGGUCGAUACGGGCAUCACUGGAGUUCGGCAGGGGAGACUGGAAUUCCUGGUGUAGCGGUGAAAUGCGCAGAUAUCAGGAGGAACACCGGUGGCGAAGGCGGGUCUCUGG